UUUUCAUCUUCUAGAAGUCACUUAUAAGUGUCUUCCGCGAUAGGAAAUGCAUGCAGGGUUAGUUCUGCAGUACCUUCGCCGGGUCAUGUCCGAGCGCAAAAAGCUGAUUUGUUUUUUUUCUGCCUGUAUGCUGCUGUCGACGUCAGCAGAGAAUUCGGAGCAGCGUAGAAGACUUUCGACAAAAACAUUUCGUUAAAAAAGAAAGGCAGAUCUUCGGAUAUUACCCUCUCUUAUUAUCUGCCUGCCUGCAACAUUCGGACGAUGCUCUCUUUUGCGUCUCUCCGUUAUGUUUAGAAAGAAACCAAAAGAAUAAGAAGAUCUGUGCAUUCUGUUUGAGCUAUGAAAAGAGGAGCAGCGGCUGUUUAAAUUGUGCGCUGCGACACAUUUGAAUUUAUUACAAAAAGUGAUAUUUUUUGAAAAAAAAAGUCAGAUUUUUUAAAGGUUUUAUAACAUAACUCAAAAAAUUCUGGUCCCGUUACCCGUAAGUGGCGUGAUGAAAUCCCUCAAAAUGUUUUAAGCAGUUUGAAAAGGUAAAUAUACAAGUAAAAUACAUUUUAAACACAUGCUCUUAUAUUUUUCAGGAGCGUUAAACAGGGAAGCAAACAAGAAAAGUUAAAUAUUAAAAACCAAUCCAAAAAAAUAGACUUCUCAAUAAUAAUUGUACUUCUACAGAAAUUGUAAAUGAUACAAUUUACAUAAAAUAUAGUGAAAAGUUAAUUAAUAUGUAUGUAUUUUAAAUUCAAUAAUUUCCGACGGGAUUUCACGGGAAAGUCAUGGAAAAAUCGCGAAUUUCCGACGGGAUUUCCCCGGGACGUGUCCCUUGUACGAGAAAAUACAUGGAAAAAUCGCGAAUUUCCGAUGGGAUUUCCCUGGGACGUUUCCAGUGCAUAACAGGAAACCCGGGGGACUUCGAUAGGAGGUUUUUCCCGGGUAACUUUUAUUUUGGUACCGAAGGAUUAUUACAUUUAUUUGGAAUUUUUGUUGUGACGUCAUAUGUGAGUUUCGACAAAUUUGUCACAAAACCUUACUCGUCCUUUUUUACUGAUUUUUUUUAAUUUUGUAUUAAUUUAGUAA